rnacentral:tRNA from 1 species
GCCUAGAUGGUGAAAUGGUAGACACGCGAGAUUCCAAAUUUCGUGCUUAAAGCAUGGAGGUUCGAGUCCUCUUCAAGGCA